AGAACGAACGCUGGCGGCAGGCUUAACACAUGCAAGUCGAACGCGUGUAGCAAUACACGAGUGGCGCACGGGUGAGUAACGCGUGGAUAUCUGCCUUUUGGUUCGGAAUAACCCCGGGAAACUGGGGCUAAUACCGGAUGGUUCCUACGGGAUAAAGAUUUAUCGCCAAAAGAUGAGUCCGCGUACGAUUAGCUAGUUGGUGAGGUAAUGGCUCACCAAGGCGACGAUCGUUAGCUGGUCUGAGAGGACGAUCAGCCACACUGGGACUGAGACACGGCCCAGACUCCUACGGGAGGCAGCAGUGGGGAAUAUUGGACAAUGGGGGCAACCCUGAUCCAGCCAUGCCGCGUGAGUGAUGAAGGCCUUCGGGUUGUAAAGCUCUUUUGGCGGGGACGAUGAUGACGGUACCGCAGAAUAAGCCCCGGCUAACUUCGUGCCAGCAGCCGC
rnacentral:rRNA from 1 species